rnacentral:tRNA from 1 species
AAGGCUAUAGCUUAAUUAAAGUAUCUGCGUUGCAUGCAGGAGAUGUGGGGUAGAAUCCCGCUAGUCUUA